rnacentral:rRNA from 1 species
CGGGGGGCAGCAGUGGGGAAUAUUGGACAAUGGGCGCAAGCCUGAUCCAGCAAUACCGCGUGUGUGAAGAAGGCCCUAGGGUUGUAAAGCACUUUCAAUGGGGAGGAAAACCUGCCGGCCAAUACCCGGUAGCUUGACAUUACCUAUAGAAGAAGCACCGGCUAACUCCGUGCCAGCAGCCGCGGUAAUACGGAGGGUGCGAGCGUUAAUCGGAAUUACUGGGCGUAAAGCGUGCGUAGGCGGUUCGUUAAGUCAGAUGUGAAAGCCCUGGGCUCAACCUGGGAACUGCAUUUGAAACUGGCGAACUAGAGUUGGGUAGAGGGGAGUGGAAUUUCAGGUGUAGCGGUGAAAUGCGUAGAUAUCUGAAGGAACACCAGUGGCGAAGGCGACUCCCUGGACUCAAACUGACGCUGAGGUACGAAAGCGUGGGUAGCAAACAGGAUUAGAUACCCCGGU